rnacentral:rRNA from 1 species
GAGGGAAUCUUAGACAAUGGGGGAAACCCUGAUCUAGCCAUGCCGCGUGAGUGACGAAGGUCUUAGGAUCGUAAAGCUCUUUCAACUGUGAAGAUAAUGACGGUAGCAGUAGAAGAAACCCCGGCUAACUCCGUGCCAGCAGCCGCGGUAAUACGGAGGGGGUUAGCGUUGUUCGGAAUUACUGGGCGUAAAGCGCACGUAGGCGGACUAUUAAGUCAGGGGUGAAAUCCCGGGGCUCAACCCCGGAACUGCCUUUGAUACUGGUAGUCUAGAGUUCGAGAGAGGUGAGUGGAAUUCCGAGUGUAGAGGUGAAAUUCGUAGAUAUUCGGAAGAACACCAGUGGCGAAGGCGGCUCACUGGCUCGAUACUGACGCUGAGGUGCGAAAGCGUGGGUAGCAAACAGGAUUAGAUACCCUGGUAGUCCACGCCGUAAACGUUGAAUGCCAGUCGUCAGGGGGCUUGCCCCUUGGUGACACACCUAACGGAGUAAGCAUUCCGCCCGGGGAGUACGGCCGCAAGGUUA